GACAGAGGGUGCAAACGUUGCUCGGAAUCACUGGGCGUAAAGGGCUCGUAGGCGGUUUGUCGCGUCGGGAGUGAAAUCCACUGGCUUAACUGGUGGCUUGCUUUCGAUACGGGCAGACUGGAGGUAUGCAGGGGAGAACGGAAUUCCUGGUGUAGCGGUGAAAUGCGCAGAUAUCAGGAGGAACACCAAUUGCGAAGGCAGCUCGCUGGGACGUUACUGACGCUGAGACGCGAAAGCGUGGGUAGCAAACAGG
rnacentral:rRNA from 1 species